rnacentral:sRNA from 1 species
CCAGCACCUACCGCGACGGCGGGAAAAGCCGCAAGCCCAGCGGUCUGGUGCUGGCCACUACACUUUUUGGG